rnacentral:rRNA from 1 species
CCUACGGGAGGCAGCAGUGAGGAAUAUUGGUCAAUGGGCGAGAGCCUGAACCAGCCAAGUCGCGUGAGGGAGUACUGCCCUAUGGGUUGUAAACCUCUUUUGUCGGGGAGCAAAAACCGGACGUGUCCGGCUGUGAGAGUACCCGAAGAAAAAGCAUCGGCUAACUCCGUGCCAGCAGCCGCGGUAAUACGGAGGAUGCGAGCGUUAUCCGGAUUUAUUGGGUUUAAAGGGUGCGCAGGCGGAUUUUUAAGUCAGCGGUAAAAUCGUGGGGCUCAACCCCAUCCAGCCGUUGAAACUGGGGAUCUAGAGUGUGCGAGAGGUAUGCGGAAUGCGUGGUGUAGCGGUGAAAUGCAUAGAUAUCACGCAGAACCCCGAUUGCGAAGGCAGCAUACCGGUGCACAACUGACGCUCAGGCACGAAAGCGUGGGUAUCGAACAGGAUUAGAUACCCGUGUAGUC